rnacentral:lncRNA from 10 species
GCCAGGUUUUUCUGGGAAAUGGCAAACCUCUCACUGCCCUUCCCAGAAAGGCCUUCCUCCUGCCAGGAGGCUGUUUAAUCAGAACCACAAACAAUCGUGAAUAAAGGGAAGGUAGUCAUAUUAAGCAGCACCUGUCCUGUAGGGAACGCAAUGAUUGCAGAGGAAAAACACAGAGUGAAGCCUGCUUGCAUCUCCCUGGGGUGUAGAGACUGACUUCCUCCCACAGCAACCCCAGGCUGGCUGCACCCUUUGCAGUGCAGCCUAAGAUGCCCAACUGUGGUCCCUCCUAGAGCCCCACUUAAUAGCUGUAUCACCAGAAGACUGUGCCUGACCAUCAGAGAGCUGUAUCACCAGAAGACUGUGCCUGACCAUCAGAGAGCUCCAUCAGAGCAGCCCCCACUGGCACACACUAGCUCACCCCACACUCCAUCACAGUCUCUUCUGAGCCACUUUACCUGUACACACACAUCCACAACCAACCCCACUGCUUUGCUGGUGUGUGCAUAGACUAGUCCAAGGUGGACCUGUAUUAGUCCAUUUUCAUACUGCCAAUAAAGACAUACCCAAGACUGGG